rnacentral:tRNA from 1 species
GCGCCGGUGGUGUAAUGGUGGCGUACAGCAUUCACGCCCGGUCAGUAGGAGGUGGGGGUUCGAGUCCCGCCUGGCGCU